rnacentral:rRNA from 1 species
ACGAACGCUGGCGGCAGGCCUAACACAUGCAAGUCGAACGCGUGUAGCAAUACACGAGUGGCGGACGGGUGAGUAACACGUGGGAAUCUACCCAGCAGUACGGAAUAACCGCGGGACACUGCGGCUAACACCGUAUACGCCCCUAGGGGGAAAGCUUUAUCGCUGUUGGAUGAGCCCGCGUCUGAUUAGCUAGUUGGCGGGGUAAAAGCCCACCAAGGCGACGAUCGGUAGCUGGUCUGAGAGGAUGAUCAGCCACACUGGGACUGAGACACGGCCCAGACUCCUACGGGAGGCAGCAGUGGGGGAUAUUGGACAAUGGGGGAAACCCUGAUCCAGCCAUGCCGCGUGGGUGAAGAAGGCCCUAGGGUUGUAAAGCCCUUUUGGCGGGGAAGAUGAUGACGGUAGCCGCAGAAGAAGCACCGGCUAACUUCGU